GAUGAAGAACGUAGCGAAAUGCGAUAAGUAGUGUGAAUUGCAGAAUUCCGUGAAUCAUCGAAUCUUUGAACGCACAUUGCGCCUCCUGGUAGUCCGGGAGGCAUGCCUGUUCGAGCGUCACCAAAUCCAACUCAAGCGGUUUUGCGCUUGGUCGUGGCGGAAGAGUCGGUCUGGUUGCCGUCUCCCCUCCGAAAAUCAACGGCGGAAAGUCACUGGCAGUCAGCGUAGUAGUAUCGUUCGCCGAACAUCCAGUGGCAUUCCUGCCGACGUACCCCCACGAUUCUCGUGAUUGACCUCGGAUCAGGUAGGGAUACCCGCUGAACUUAAGCAUAUCAAUAAGCGGAGGA
rnacentral:misc_RNA from 1 species